ACCGUCCUGCCUGGGGAACACCGCGUGUUCCAGUCCAAAAAGCCCGCUUCAUCGUCCAAUACGCCUGGGAGGGCCCAGGUGAGGAUGGAGGCCGACGGGAGCCACGACCCACCGAGGUCACAAGGGACCCCAGAGGUUAAAAAAUAUCACCACCAUCUUCCAGUAAUUCACCAAAAUGACUAGCACAAAGGGAGAGAGAGGCAGCGCUCCGUGUCCCCUAGGCCUUUUAGGAAACACGGACUUGUUCCUCCGGCCACGAACAUGCGAAGCUACAAGGAAGGCGAUACGGUGGACAUCGAGGGAAUGGGCUGUUCAGAAAGGAAGGCCGCACCAACCUGCCCACGGCCACGCUGGACGAGGCUGCGUGCCACCCAGCGCGCCAUAGCAUCGCGAACGCGCAGGGACGCCCCUUCUCCCAGCCUCCGGCCCCCUCCUGCGUCUUAUCCAGUCUCCACCUGCAGAACCUCCUCCGGGACCAGCCUACACCAGGUUUUCCUACCUUAACUCUUCACUGCCCAACCCUGAGCUCCCCGGUCCGUCAGCAUUACCCCAGCAGGUGGAGGCUGCGGUCACCGCCUGGCCCGGCCUCUGCGGCCUCCACACCCACCUCUCUCUGGGCGUCUGUUCCCACGGGGACGGGGACAGUGUGGCUCUCCAGGGCGGGGCCCCUUCUUCCUCCAGUUGGCGGAGAAGAUGCACGAGGGCGCUGAGCAUCUUAAAGCCGCGAACCCAGUUCUCUUCCAGGACGUGCAGGAGCCCCCCAAGGUGAGCGCCAUGGAGGCCGCAUGGCCUCGGAGAGGAGCCUGAGCCAGGCCCUCGGGGCGCUGCAGGCCACGGUUCUACCUUCAGGCCCUCAGCUCUGCGAGUUCCUGCCGAACCGCUUCCUGCGUGAGGAGAUGAAGCUCAUCAGGAAGAUGGGCGCCACCUGCCUCCCCUCCGCGGGCUGCAGGCCCAGGCUGGCCGGGCGAGUCGCUCUUCCAAAGGCUCCCCCUCCAGCACCACCAGGAGCCUGUGGGCCCCAGGCCUGAGGGCCCCUCUGCGCCCCCUGGGCUCUGGCUUUCGCCUGAGCCUCUCGCGUGUGCAUAACCCACAGAUACAGACGGUGGGUAUGAAGGCUUGGGGGGCGGGGGGGGGCAAGGGGAGAAAAGUCACAUAUGUAAUACUUUCAACAAUAAAGAUUUAUUUUAAAAAGAACAGUCAUUUUCCUUGA